rnacentral:rRNA from 1 species
UUGAACUGAAGAGUUUGAUCCUGGCUCAGAUUGAACGCUGGCGGCAUGCCUUACACAUGCAAGUCGAACGGCAGCACGGGUGCUUGCACCUGGUGGCGAGUGGCGAACGGGUGAGUAAUACAUCGGAACAUGUCCUGUAGUGGGGGAUAGCCCGGCGAAAGCCGGAUUAAUACCGCAUACGAUCCACGGAUGAAAGCGGG